UACGUAGGGGGCAAGCGUUGUCCGGAUUUAUUGGGCGUAAAGAGCGUGUAGGCGGCUAGGUAGGUCCGUUGUGAAAACUCGAGGCUCAACCUCGAGACGUCGGCGGAAACCCUCUGGCUAGAGUCCGGAAGAGGAGAGUGGAAUUCCUGGUGUAGCGGUGAAAUGCGCAGAUAUCAGGAAGAACACCCGUGGCGAAGGCGGCGCUCUGGGACGGUACUGACGCUGAGACGCGAAAGCGUGGGGAGCGAACAGG
rnacentral:rRNA from 1 species